AUUGCAGGCUGNAACCCGCCUGCAUGAAGUUGGAAUCGCUAGUAAUCGCGGAUCAGCAUGCCGCGGUGAAUACGUUCCCGGGCCUUGUACACACCGCCCGUCACACCAUGAGAGUCGGGAACACCCGAAGUCCGUAGCCUAACCGCAAGGGGGGCGCGGCCGAAGGUGGGUUCGAUAAUUGGGGUGAAGUCGUAACAAGGUACC
rnacentral:rRNA from 1 species